GGGCUGCUGACUAGAGGCCAGCGCCUUUGUGACCUGAGUCAUGUGAGCAGAGGAGGGGAACCGCGGCUGUUUUGCCCUUCAGUUAACGAGCUGCACACACAAACGGACACCAGGUAGCAAGUGAAUCAGACAAGGGUCAUUUCCCUAAGAAGCGGGCACAGAAGUUCACAUGUGCGAAGACCUUCUUCUCGGUUCUGGCGUGUUCCAUCAUCAGAUCUGACACCUCCUACCUUACUAGGAAAAGAAUGAUCUAAGGACAAACAGCUUCCCAAGCCCUGAGACUCUCACAAAGAGGAGAAGGCUCCCAGCCCAGCAGCUCCAGGGUGAUGAGAAGUCAUCAGGGAGUACCCCCAUACUCCAAUCAGUCUCUGGAGUCCCUAAGCACCAUUUCCUGAGAGUCCUGAACCCACCGAUGACUGUCCUAAGGCUCAGAGAUGCUGCAGUGACUGCCCAGGUCACACAGCUGGGUUGGGAUCCAGAUCUGACUCUGAAGCACCUCGACUUAACCUGGGUAGCCCACACACACCUGCCUGUUCAUUUAGACCUAAGCAACACGGUUCCAGUGGCACAUCGUAAUAAGGGAAGAGCACGAUAUUCCCAGUUAUUCUCAGGUGAACAGUCUGUCCCUCCACAGUUCACCCACGCCCUAUCCCCAGUGGUUGACUGGACCGUAUCAUUUGAAUGCUCCCGCAAACCCACCCCACCACCCAGUCUGCCCCAAACAAAAUCACUCUCCUUCAUCCAGACCCUAACUUUCUUUGGCUUUGACCAUGUAAUCUCUGUUAUCCAAUCAACCAGGUGUGAAACUACAAAAUCAUGUUUAACAAAGCUUCCUUCCUCACUUCCAUGCAGUCAAAUAAAUCCUGCCUUUUCUCUUUAAAAUGGUUCCUCAAGGCAGGCAGUCGUUACUUCCGUAUUUACAGCCUUGGACCUAUGCUCCCGGCCUCCAGGAUCUAGCCCCUCCAUCCUGAAUACCAUCUCCAGAAUCGGCUUCUUUCCACAGCACUUCUGCCAUGUCCUACCUUCCUGAAGAUCCACAAUUUCAAGACAAAAUUCCUUUGUCUGGAUAUCAACACCACCUCUAACUGGCCUCACCAACAUUCCACAUUCCAACAUUCCACUAUCCCUCACUCACCCUGUGCCUCUACCAUGCCCCUCUACCAUGUUGGAGGCAGUAGGCAUUGUCUCCUGUGCUCUCACUCACACCAACCCCCCCACACACACACAACAGCAAUAUCCACCCCUCCAGUCUGUACCAGUCCAAUCCAAACCACUGUUCAAGCACCAGCCUGGGUCUCAUUUCCUUCAUGAGACCUUCUUUUGUUUUUCCCACCAUUGUUGCCCCAACUUUCUCUGAUCGAGACUUCUGAUUCACUCAGUACAAUACAUCAUUUAAAUAUUUUCUCACAUCCUUCAUUAACUGCUUCCUAAUUACUUGGCCUUUUCUUCCCAGCUGGAUAGUUCUUGAAAAGCAAAACUACAUCUUUCUCAGUACAUACUUACUAAUGAAGUGAUCUUGUAAUUACACAAAUUUCACAGUACUCCAUCUCACAGAGAACCCCAUACACUGUGCUCAGUCAAAACACUCAUUUCUAAAUUAGCUAUGAUAGAGUCAAGACAGUUUUCCCAAAUCAAGAGGCUUGGCUUGACUCUGUGUGGAACAGAUCUCAGCCUUUGGUUGACCAUGAACUUGAGUGAAUCAGUCAAAGGACAGAGCCACUGAAACAGCCAAUCCAAGGUAAUCUGGGCCUGUGUCAUCAGAAGCGUGGUGCCCAGAUCAUCCUAAAACGUUGUCUGCACUAACCA